rnacentral:rRNA from 1 species
UGGGGAAUAUUGCACAAUGGGCGCAAGCCUGAUGCAGCCAUGCCGCGUGUGUGAAGAAGGCCUUCGGGUUGUAAAGCACUUUCAGGGGGGAGGAAGGCGUUAAGGUUAAUAACCUCAUCGAUUGACGUUACCCGCAGAAGAAGCACCGGCUAACUCCGUGCUAGCAGCCGCGGUAAUACGGAGGGUGCAAGCGUUAAUCGGAAUUACUGGGCGUAAAGCGCACGCAGGCGGUCUGUCAAGUCGGAUGUGAAAUCCCCGGGCUCAACCUGGGAACUGCAUUCGAAACUGGCAGGCUAGAGUCUUGUAGAGGGGGGUAGAAUUCCAGGUGUAGCGGUGAAAUGCGUAGAGAUCUGGAGGAAUACCGGUGGCGAAGGCGGCCCCCUGGACAAAGACUGACGCUCAGGUGCGAAAGCGUGGGGAGCAAACAGG